rnacentral:rRNA from 1 species
AUGAACGCUAGCUACAGGCUUAACACAUGCAAGUCGAGGGGCAGCAUGGUCUUAGCUUGCUAAGGCCGAUGGCGACCGGCGCACGGGUGAGUAACACGUAUCCAACCUGCCGUCUACUCUUGGACAGCCUUCUGAAAGGAAGAUUAAUACAAGAUGGCAUCAUGAGUCCACAUGUUCACAUGAUUAAAGGUAUUCCGGUAGACGAUGGGGAUGCGUUCCAUUAGAUAGUAGGCGGGGUAACGGCCCACCUAGUCUUCGAUGGAUAGGGGUUCUGAGAGGAAGGUCCCCCACAUUGGAACUGAGACACGGUCCAAACUCCUACGGGAGGCAGCAGUGAGGAAUAUUGGUCAAUGGGCGAGAGCCUGAACCAGCCAAGUAGCGUGAAGGAUGACUGCCCUAUGGGUUGUAAACUUCUUUUAUAAAGGAAUAAAGUCGGGUAUGCACACCCGUUUGCAUGUACUUUAUGAAUAAGGAUCGGCUAACUCCGUGCCAGCAGCCGCGGUAAUACGGAGGAUCCGAGCGUUAUCCGGAUUUAUUGGGUUUAAAGGGAGCGUAGAUGGAUGUUUAAGUCAGUUGUGAAAGUUUGCGGCUCAACCGUAAAAUUGCAGUUGAUACUGGAUAUCUUGAGUGCAGUUGAGGCAGGCGGAAUUCGUGGUGUAGCGGUGAAAUGCUUAGAUAUCACGAAGAACUCCGAUUGCGAAGGCAGCCUGCUAAGCUGCAACUGACAUUGAGGCUCGAAAGUGUGGGUAUCAAACAGGAUUAGAUACCCUGGUAGUCCACACGGUAAACGAUGAAUACUCGCUGUUUGCGAUAUACGGCAAGCGGCCAAGCGAAAGCGUUAAGUAUUCCACCUGGGGAGUACGCCGGCAACGGUGCAACUCAAAUGAAUUGACGGAAGGUGGAA